AAUUGGGACUCAAUUUAUUAUGAAAAAUAUUUUGAAGGUUUAAGUUGGACAAAAUAAAAUUUUAGAUAUCUACUUAUAUAUUGCUGGAAGUUUAGAAUUAAAUGUUUUAUUGUAGAAAUGUUGGAGGACCUCCUUUGCAAUUUUGAGUUAGUGGCUACUUAUUUUAUUACAAUAAACCCAUUUCAAUUAUAAUUCAACACACACACACACAUAGUAGGCAAAAACGGGAGAUGGCAGGGAAAGUAACCGAGAAAAAAGAAGAAGAAAAGAAGGAAAGGAAGGAAGAAAGAAGGGAGAAGAAGAACGGAAAGAGAUAGCAGCCUUGGAGCCUGUUGAUCCACCGAGUGUGCCACACACACACUGUCCUUAGAUGUAUGACUUAUUUCUUCAAUUUAUAUAGUUCAAUUUUUUUUAGAUACAUGUAUGUUUUGACAGAAACGUUAAUUGGUAAUUUAUAGAUCCAUAUCAUGGGCUCACUGCAUAUUUAGUAUUCUCAUUGCUUUUGGGGUCUUUUGUUUAUAAACCAUGAUAAAUGUCUUGAAUAGUUUGUAUUUUGAAG